UGGGGAAUUUUGGACAAUGGGCGAAAGCCUGAUCCAGCAAUGCCGCGUGUGUGAAGAAGGCCUUCGGGUUGUAAAGCACUUUUGUCCGGAAAGAAAUGGCUCUGGUUAAUACCUGGGGUCGAUGACGGUACCGGAAGAAUAAGGACCGGCUAACUACGUGCCAGCAGCCGCGGUAAUACGUAGGGUCCAAGCGUUAAUCGGAAUUACUGGGCGUAAAGCGUGCGCAGGCGGUUGUGCAAGACCGAUGUGAAAUCCCCGAGCUUAACUUGGGAAUUGCAUUGGUGACUGCACGGCUAGAGUGUGUCAGAGGGGGGUAGAAUUCCACGUGUAGCAGUGAAAUGCGUAGAGAUGUGGAGGAAUACCGAUGGCUAAGGCAGCCCCCUGGGAUAACACUGACGCUCAUGCACGAAAGCGUGGGGAGCAAACAGG
rnacentral:rRNA from 1 species